GCUCUGGUGGCCUAAGUGGUUAGAGCGUCCGCCUCGGGUGCGGGAGGUCGUGGAUUCGAUCCCCGGCCGAGUA